rnacentral:SRP_RNA from 1 species
GCCGGGCGUGGUGGCGCACGCCUGUAAUCCCAGCUACUCGGGUGGCUGAGGCAGGAGAAUGGCUUGAACCCAGGAGGCGGAGGUUGCAGUGAGCCGAGAUUGCGCCACUGCACUACAGCCUGGGUGACAGAGCAAGACUCCGUCUCAA